rnacentral:rRNA from 1 species
CUGGCGGCAGGCCUAACACAUGCAAGUCGAGCGCUCACUUCGGUGGGAGCGGCGGACGGGUUAGUAACGCGUGGGAAUAUGCCCGGUACUAAGGAAUAGCCUUUGGAAACGAAGAGUAAUACCUUAUACGCCCUUCGGGGGAAAGAUUUAUCGGUAUCGGAUUASCCCGCGUAAGAUUAGAUAGUUGGUGGGGUAAUGGCCUACCAAGUCUACGAUCUUUAGCUGGUUUUAGAGGAUGAUCAGCAACACUGGGACUGAGACACGGCCCAGACUCCUACGGGAGGCAGCAGUGGGGAAUCUUAGACAAUGGGCGCAAGCCUGAUCUAGCCAUGCCGCGUGAGUGAAGAAGGCCUUAGGGUCGUAAAACUCUUUCGCCAGAGAUGAUAAUGACAGUAUCUGGUAAAGAAACCCCGGCUAACUCCGUGCCAGCAGCCGCGGUAAUACGGAGGGGGUUAGCGUUGUUCGGAAUUACUGGGCGUAAAGCGCACGUAGGCGGACUGGAAAGUUGGGGGUGAAAUCCCGGGGCUCAACCUCGGAACUGCCUCCAAAACUAUCAGUCUAGAGUUCSAGAGAGGUGAGUGGAAUUCCAAGUGUAGAGGUGAAAUUCGUAGAUAUU